GACGAACGCUGGCGGCGUGCCUAAUACAUGCAAGUAGAACGCUGAAGGAGGAGCUUGCUUCUCUGGAUGAGUUGCGAACGGGUGAGUAACGCGUAGGUAACCUGCCUGGUAGUGGGGGAUAACUAUUGGAAACGAUAGCUAAUACCGCAUAAUAGCAGUUGUUGCAUGAUAACUGUUUGAAAGGUGCAAUUGCACCGCUACCAGAUGGACCUGCGUUGUAUUAGCUAGUUGGUGGGGUAACGGCUCACCAAGGCGACGAUACAUAGCCGACCUGAGAGGGUGAUCGGCCACACUGGGACUGAGACACGGCCCAGACUCCUACGGGAGGCAGCAGUAGGGAAUCUUCGGCAAGGGACGGAAGUCUGACCGAGCAACGCCGCGUGAGUGAAGAAGGUUUUCGGAUCGUAAAGCUCUGUUGUAAGAGAAGAACGAGUGUGAGAGUGGAAAGUUCACACUGUGACGGUAUCUUACCAGAAAGGGACGGCUAACUACGUG
rnacentral:rRNA from 1 species